rnacentral:rRNA from 1 species
UACAGAGGAGCCAAGCGUUGUCCGGAUUGACUGGGCGUAAAGCGCACGCAGGCGGACGCGCGCGUGGGGUGUGAAAUCUGGCCGCUUAACGGCCAGGCGCCAUCCCAUACGGCGCGUCUGGAGCAAUGCAGAGGUCGGUGGAAUUGCCGGUGUAGUGGUGAAAUGCGUAGAGAUCGGCAGGAACACCCAGGGGGAAACCAGCCGACUGGGCAUCUACUGACGCUGAGGUGCGAGAGCGUGGGGAGCGAACAGG